rnacentral:tRNA from 1 species
AAGAAUGUAGUUUAAUGAAAAUAUUAGAUUGUAAAUCUAAAGUUGUUUGAUUCUUG